AAGCUUAAAAGAGGAGUUACGUUUCACGACACCAAAUGCGGCCAGUAUCUGACACCGUUUGUCCCCAUUGGCGGCCCGUAACCUUAUUUUUGCCCAAUACCCGCGUCACGCGUCUUCUCGCGGAGCCGUCUGUACCUGGCUCCUUCUGAUUGGCUUAGGUGAGCUCCAAACCCUUCCUGAUUGGAAGCUCUGACUGGGAGCCCGCCGUCCUUUCCGCGGUAGUGUUUGGUUGAGCUUCAGGCGCGGGGGAGAAUUGGGGAAACUGGAAUUUCCCGCGGAGCUGACGGCGCUUGCUCUCCCCCUACUCGUUUUAAUUCCACGCGCUCCAAAAUAUCCGCCAUGGAGAAAUCUUGGCCAGGAUGUCCAUUCUAGGCCCACUGGUGCUAUCCUGCUGAAGGCUGGGUCAGACAUCUUAAAGGGCCGUUGCAAGGGAGGGUGUGACACGGGUCUAAUCUGCCAUCGUCGUCAUGAACUUCGAGGGUCUGGACCCUGGACUGGCAGAGUAUGCCCCGGCCAUGCAUUCUGCCCUGGACCCUGUCCUGGAUGCCCACCUGAACCCAAGUCUGCUACAGAAUGUGGAGCUGGAUCCGGAGGGGGUGGCCUUGGAGGCUCUUCCUGUCCAGGAGUCAGUGCACAUAAUGGAAGGUGUCUACUCUGAAUUGCACAGUGUGGUGGCUGAAGUGGGUGUGCCUGUCUCCGUCUCCCACUUUGACUUGCACGAGGAGAUGCUGUGGGUGGGAAGCCACGGGGGCCAUGCCACUUCAUUUUUUGGCCCCGCCUUGGAGCGUUACUCAUCCUUUCAGGUCAAUGGCAGUGACGACAUUCGACAGAUCCAGAGCCUGGAAAAUGGUAUCCUAUUUCUCACCAAGAACAACCUCAAGUAUAUGGCCCGUGGGGGCCUCAUUAUAUUUGAUUACCUGCUGGAUGAGAGUGAGGAUAUGCACAGUCUCCUACUGACUGACAACAGCACUCUGCUUGUUGGUGGGCUGCAGAACCACAUAUUGGAAAUUGACCUUAAUACUGUCCAGGAGACUCAGAAGUAUGCAGUCGAGACGCCUGGAGUCACCAUCAUGAGACAGACAAAUCGCUUCUUCUUCUGUGGCCACACAUCUGGCAAGGUUUCCCUGCGAGACCUCCGUUCUUUUAAGGUGGAGCAUGAGUUUGAUGCUUUCUCAGGAAGUCUGUCAGAUUUUGAUGUGCAUGGCAACCUGCUGGCCGCCUGUGGCUUCUCCAGCCGCCUCACUGGCCUGGCCUGUGACCGUUUCCUCAAGGUGUAUGAUCUGCGCAUGAUGCGUGCCAUCACACCACUUCAAGUACAUGUGGAUCCUGCCUUCUUGCGCUUCAUCCCUACAUAUACUUCUCGACUUGCUAUCAUCUCCCAGUCAGGGCAGUGCCAGUUUUGUGAGCCCACAGGCCUGGCCAACCCAGCAGACAUCUUUCAUGUGAAUCCUGUGGGGCCUCUGCUAAUGACAUUUGAUGUAUCAGCCAGCAAGCAGGCCCUGGCCUUUGGGGAUUCUGAGGGCUGUGUACACCUCUGGACUGAUUCCCCUGAGCCUUCCUUCAACCCUUACUCCCGUGAGACGGAGUUUGCUUUGCCCUGUCUCGUGGACUCACUGCCUCCCCUAGACUGGAGCCAGGACCUGCUGCCUCUUUCCCUCAUCCCUGUCCCGCUCACCACUGACACGCUUCUCUCUGACUGGCCUGCUGCCAACUCCGCUCCAGCUCCCAGGCGAGCACCCCCUGUGGAUGCAGAGAUUCUACGCACCAUGAAGAAGGUGGGCUUCAUUGGCUAUGCACCCAACCCCCGUACCAGGCUGCGCAAUCAGAUUCCUUAUCGACUCAAGGAGUCAGACAGUGAAUUUGACAGCUUCAGCCAGGUCACUGAGUCACCGAUAGGGCGGGAAGAGGAGCUACAUCUCCACAUGGUCUCUAAGAAAUACCGCAAGGUGCUGGGGGUUACCAAGGAAGGAGUCCUGUGGGAUGUGGGGAAAGGUUCCCUGGGAAAAGGGGGUCAUACUAGAAAGGAUCGAAGGACUCAGUUGAGAAGCCUUCAUCUACCACCUGGACUCAGGAGGGAGGUUUUGGGAAAGGUCAUGACCACUGCAAAGGAUUUAGGGGACUCUGAGGAUACGUUCAUUUUGCUCAGACUAUUUCUGCCUCAGGUAACCAUCAAAUACUCCAAGCUAGGGCUGGAGGACUUUGACUUCAAACACUACAAUAAGACCCUGUUUGCUGGAUUAGAGCCCCACAUCCCCAAUGCCUACUGUAACUGCAUGAUCCAGGUGCUCUAUUUUCUGGAGCCCGUUCGCUGUCUUAUCCAGAACCAUCUUUGCCAGAAGGAGUUCUGUCUGGCAUGUGAGCUGGGUUUCCUCUUCCACAUGUUGGAUCUUUCUCGAGGUGACCCUUGUCAGGGCAGUAAUUUUCUUCGGGCAUUCCGCACCAUUCCUGAGGCCUCGGCCCUUGGUCUGAUCCUGGCUGACUCAGAUGAGGCUUCAGGCAAAGGCAAUCUGGCCAGGCUUAUUCAGAGGUGGAAUCGCUUCAUUCUCACUCAACUGCAUCAGGAUAUGCAGGAGCUAGAAGUACCCCAGGCUUAUCGAGGUGCUGGAGGCAGCAGCUUUUGUUCAUCGGGGGACUCUGUCAUUGGGCAGCUGUUCAGCUGUGAGAUGGAGAAUUGCAGCCUCUGCCGCUGCGGCAGUGAGACCGUGCGAGCCUCUUCCACCCUGCUGUUCACGCUCUCCUACCCCGAGGAUAAAACCGGGAAGAACUGUGACUUUGCUCAGGUGCUGAAGCGAAGCAUCUGCCUGGAGCAGAAUACACAGGCCUGGUGCGACAACUGCGAGAAGUACCAGCCCACGAUUCAGACCCGCAACAUCCGCCAUCUGCCAGAUAUUCUUGUUAUCAACUGUGAGGUGAACAGCUUGAAAGAAGCUGAUUUCUGGAGAAUGCAGGCUGAGGUUGCCUUCAAGAUGGCAAUAAAAAAGCAUGGUGGGGAAAUCUCUAAGAAUAAAGAGUUUGCUUUGGCUGAUUGGAAGGAACUAGGGAGUCCAGAGGGUGUGCUGAUGUGUUCCUCCAUUGAGGAGUUGAAGAAUGUCUGGCUUCCUUUCUCCAUUCGCAUGAAGAUGACCAAGAAUAAAGGGCUGGAUGUUUGCAAUUGGACUGAUGGGGAUGAGAUACAGUGGGGCCCAGCCAGGGCAGAGGAGGAGCAUGGUGUCUUUGUGUAUGACCUGAUGGCUACUGUGGUACACAUCCUGGACUCACGCACAGGGGGCAGCCUGGUGGCUCACAUCAAAGUUGGAGAGACCUACCACCAGCGCAAGGAGGGUGUUACCCACCAGCAGUGGUAUCUCUUCAAUGACUUUCUUAUUGAACCUAUUGAUAAGCAUGAAGCUGUGCAGUUUGACAUGAAUUGGAAAGUGCCUGCUAUCCUUUAUUACGUCAAAAGGAAUCUUAAUUCCAAAUACAACCUGAACAUCAAGAACCCUAUUGAGGCAAGUGUCCUGCUGGCUGAAGCCUCACUAGCACGGAAGCAGCGAAAAACACAUACUACCUUUAUUCCACUGAUGCUGAAUGAGAUGCCGCAGGUUGGGGACCUGGUGGGCCUGGAUGCUGAGUUUGUCACUCUUAAUGAGGAGGAAGCAGAGUUACGCAGUGAUGGCACCAAGUCUACCAUCAAACCAAGCCAGAUGUCAGUAGCAAGGAUUACUUGUGUUCGAGGCCAGGGACCCAAUGAGGGUAUCCCCUUCAUUGAUGACUACAUCUCUACCCAGGAGCAGGUGGUGGAUUACUUGACUCAGUACUCGGGGAUUAAGCCAGGAGACCUAGAUGCCAAGAUUUCCUCUAAGCACCUCACAACUCUCAAGUCUACCUACUUAAAGCUUCGUUUUCUUAUAGACAUUGGAGUCAAGUUUGUGGGUCAUGGUCUGCAGAAGGACUUCCGGGUCAUCAACCUCAUGGUUCGGGCAGGGCUGUUUUUAAGAGUUUCCGUUGAAUAUGGGCCCUUUAGGGUAUACAUUGUGCUUUUGGAGAAUGAGAAGUUAUGGAUCACCUACCCUCAGUCUCCCACUCUUUUAUCUCUGCCAGGUGCCCAAGGACCAAGUCCUUGACACUGUCUAUCUCUUUCACAUGCCCCGAAAACGAAUGAUUUCCCUGCGGUUCCUUGCUUGGUACUUCCUAGACCUGAAGAUUCAAGGGGAAACCCAUGACAGUAUUGAGGAUGCCCGUACAGCCCUUCAGCUCUACCGAAAGUAUCUGGAGCUAAGCAAA